UACGGAGGGUCCGAGCGUUAUCCGGAAUCAUUGGGUUUAAAGGGUCCGUAGGCGGACAAUUAAGUCAGUGGUGAAAGUCUGCAGCUCAACUGUAGAAUUGCCAUUGAUACUGGUUGUCUUGAAUCGUUGUGAAGUGGCUAGAAUAUGUGGUGUAGCGGUGAAAUGCUUAGAUACCACAUAGAAUACCGAUUGCGAAGGCAGGUCACUAACAACGUAUUGACGCUGAUGGACGAAAGCGUGGGGAGCGAACAGG
rnacentral:misc_RNA from 1 species